rnacentral:rRNA from 1 species
GAUGAACGCUGGCGGCGUGCCUAAUACAUGCAAGUCGAGCGAACGGACGAGAAGCUUGCUUCUCUGAUGUUAGCGGCGGACGGGUGAGUAACACGUGGAUAACCUACCUAUAAGACUGGGAUAACUUCGGGAAACCGGAGCUAAUACCGGAUAAUAUUUUGAACCGCAUGGUUCAAAAGUGAAAGACGGUCUUGCUGUCACUUAUAGAUGGAUCCGCGCUGCAUUAGCUAGUUGGUAAGGUAACGGCUUACUAAGGCAACGAUGCAUAGCCGACCUGAGAGGGUGAUCGGCCACACUGGAACUGAGACACGGUCCAGACUCCUACGGGAGGCAGCAGUAGGGAAUCUUCCGCGAUGGGCGAAAGCCUGGCGGAGCAACGCCGCGUGAGUGAUGAAGGUCUUCGGAUCGUAAAACUCUGUUAUUAGGGAAGAACAUAUGUGUAAGUAACUGUGCACAUCUUGACGGUACCUAAUCAGAAAGCCACGGCUAACUACGUG